UUCACAGAGAGUUGCCUGUGGGUUUCUCUCUCAGAGGAAAGUGGUGGAGGAUUGCGUUAUUAUUCACAAGCGUGCACUGCCACUUUCUGCUGGAGACCUCUCUGUCCCUGCUCCAUUAACAGCACUCUUGGUCACCUGCCUUCCUCUGGCCAAUGGAUGCGUUAAAGAAAAAAUGAUUCAUCCUGACCCCUGUUAAAGACUGUGGUGCUUCCCAGACAGGACAGUCCUCCUGUCGGCAGCUCUGACCAGCUUCCUGAGGGACAGAACCUGUUUCCCUGCAGCCUCUGCCUUGGCCCCAGCUCCAGCCUCGGCCAUGAAUGGGGCCCAGCUGCUCCCUCCCAUGGGACCACCCUGCAAUGAUUUACAGGUGAAGGGGCCUCUGCAGGGUCCACACUCUCAGCUUCCAGGAAGAGCUCCCACUUUGUCUGGCACGCUCUUUUGGCACCAAGUCCAGGACUUAUGACUGUUUCAAGGGCCUUCAUUUAUAUUUGACAUCUAAAAAUUUAUUUUGUUACAUCCAAAUAAUUUUUUUAAAACCUGUAAAACCAAGAUUAAUAAAUGUUUAAUUAAAUGCCUACAAAAUAUAA